AAACGGCCCAUAUGCAUGAUUCGCCCAAUAAACACGCCACAUAAUGUCUGUCGAAAAUAAAAUCAUCCACUGAAAUAUAAACAAGCCUCCAAAUAAUAUCCAACACAAAUAACAUACAAAAGAAACGAGCAAAUAAUCAUCAUAAAUACACAACAUGUGUGAAACUUAGAUGAAAUUAAUAAACGCACCCAGUCGCCGCUGAUGGACGUCGCCUGUUAAACGCGGCGACUGCAGUGGGCGAGUCAAUAACAACUCUGGAAUUUCUGUUUCGCUCUGCUGUCGCAGCCUGCAAUUAUUGGCUGCUGCUUCAGAAGAUUUCCACAAGAGGGCUUGUGGAGAGCUUACAAGUCCCUGUAUAGCAGAGGUGUUGGGGCCACACCCCCUCAUCUCUCUGCUAGGGGAUCACCACAGGCCAAGGCAAAAGUGAUAUGAUGAAACAACGGAAAGAAAGACAAAGAAGAAACAGCAUGGAACCCUUAUUAGAAGAGGAAACAGUAAAAAAAGUAAAUGUAAAGUAUGACAAAUUGGAAAAAGUAAGUAGAUGAGUUCAAAUGAAGGAGACUUUUUCCCCUUAUAAGCACUGCCUUCUACCACUAGUUCUUUUUUGAUUGGAUUUUGAUUUUUUAUGAUUAUUGCUGGCAAAAAGCAUGCUCUUUUUAUUUAAAUAGAAACUUACAAAUUUGUAAAAACUCUGACAGGGUUUCCUUUCAUCCUUUUAAUGUCUGAAAAUGUUUUAGCAAAACUGCCUGUUGAUAGUAAUGUUAAGCAUAGAAUAUGCUAUGUAUAUAGAUUUUUUUAGAUGCACAUAUGUUUGAUCAUAUGCAUGGCACAUAUCUGUACAUACUAUUUUACAAUCAUAUUUUCAUUUGCCAACAUGACCAUAAUGUCAGCAUGAUGAUUUGAUUAUUGAUGUCCCAAGUUCUAGUCCAAGAAAAUGGAACUUAUUGCUAGCAAGUUUUCCUAAACUAAGAAUAGUGCUACAGAAGGAAGAUAUGUGAAGAUGAAAACAGAAUAAUCAGCACAGAUGAGGACUGCAAGCCACUUUAAUUUUUAGGCUAAAUUCUAAUUUUAGGAUUUUCAUAUAUUUAUAUUGGACAUGAACAAAAUCUUUUUAGAAGGUGAUUCAUUGUCAUCAUACUUGAUAAUAGGG